GGUGGGUACAAUGUCUGGUCACUCAGUGCCCGGCUCUCACCUUGUCCCCCCGGGAGAGCCCUGCGUGCGUAUCUCGCGCUCUUUACCACUUUCCACCACGUGACCCCUCCAUCCCCGCCUCCAGAGCCGUCACCAUGGAGACACAAGACGACCCGUUCCGGGCUCCGUCACUUCCGGGAAUCUCCAGGCCGCGGUGCGCUCUGGGUCCCCUCCCUCCCCCUUCCCCCGGCCUGGCCCGGACAUGCGCAGUUGGAAAACUCCCAUCUUUUUCCUGAGGAGCCAGGGAGCUGGAAGCGGCCGGGGGAGCCGCCGAGGGGUGUCGUGUGGAGCCCCGGGGAGCGGGUGAGAGAGGGAGCGCUGCCCUCCGGCUCCCAGCUGGAUGCGGGGGGUGGAGGGGGAGCGCUGACCGGGCCUGAGAGGAAUAGGGGCCCCCCCCCGGAGCCCAGCUCAGGGGCCACACUACUUAUCUUGUUACUGGUCUGCCUGAGGGAGGCUGGAAGUGACCGGGAGGCAACCCUGAGGACACGGGAAAUUUAAGGCGAAAUGUGACAAAUAAUUUCAGUGACGCAGAUGA